rnacentral:rRNA from 1 species
CAGCAGCCGCGGGAAAACGGAGGGUGCAAGCGUUAAUCGGAAUUACUGGGCGUAAAGCGCACGCAGGCGGUCUGUCAAGUCGGAUGUGAAAUCCCCGGGCUCAACCUGGGAACUGCAUUCGAAACUGGCAGGCUAGAGUCUUGUAGAGGGGGGUAGAAUUCCAGGUGUAGCGAUGAAAUGCGUAGAGAUCUGGAGGAAUACCGGUGGCGAAGGCGGCCCCCUGGACAAAGACUGACGCUCAGGUGCGAAAGCGUGGGGAGCAAACAGGAUUAGAUACCCCUGUAGUCCCUGUCUCUUAUAC